GCGGGAAUUCGAUUGAGUUUGAUCAUGGCUCAGGACGAACGCUGGCGGCGUGCUUAACACAUGCAAGUGGAGCGACGAACCAGGGCUUGCCCUGGGGCAGAGCCGCGAACGGGUGAGUAACACGUGGGUAACCUGCCUCGAUGAUCGGGACAACCCGGGGAAACCCGGGCUAAUACCGAAUGUGCUCUCGAGCCUCAAGGCUCGAGUGGAAAGGAAGCUUCGGCCUCCGCAUCGAGAUGGGCCCGCGGCCCAUUAGCUUGUUGGUGAGGUAACGGCUCACCAAGGCUGCGAUGGGUAGCUGGUCUGAGAGGACGAUCAGCCACGCUGG
rnacentral:rRNA from 1 species